GAUGAACGCUGGCGGCGUGCUUAACACAUGCAAGUCGAACGGAAAGGCCACAGCUUGCUGUGGUACUCGAGUGGCGAACAGGUGAGUAACACGUGGGUGAUCUGCCCUGUACUUCGGGAUAAGCUUGGGAAACUGGGUCUAAUACCGGAUAGGAAUCACAUGUGGGUGUGUGGUUGGAAAGCUUUUGCGGUAUGGGAUGAGCUCGCGGCCUAUCAGCUUGUUGGUGGGGUAAUGGCCUACCAAGGCGUCGACGGGUAGCCGGCCUGAGAGGGUGUACGGCCACAUUGGGACUGAGAUACGGCCCAGACUCCUACGGGAGGCAGCAGUGGGGAAUAUUGCACAAUGGGCGCAAGCCUGAUGCAGCGACGCCGCGUGGGGGAUGACGGCCUUCGGGUUGUAAACUCCUUUCGUCAGGGACGAAGCGAAAGUGACGGUACCUGGAUAAGAAGCACCGGCUAACUACGUG
rnacentral:rRNA from 1 species